rnacentral:rRNA from 1 species
AACACGUGGGUGAUCUGCCCUGCACUUCGGGAUAAGCCUGGGAAACUGGGUCUAAUACCGGAUAUGACCUUCGGCUGCAUGGCCGUUGGUGGAAAGGUUUACUGGUGCAGGAUGGGCCCGCGGCCUAUCAGCUUGUUGGUGGGGUAAUGGCCUACCAAGGCGACGACGGGUAGCCGACCUGAGAGGGUGACCGGCCACACUGGGACUGAGACACGGCCCAGACUCCUACGGGAGGCAGCAGUGGGGAAUAUUGCACAAUGGGCGAAAGCCUGAUGCAGCGACGCCGCGUGAGGGAUGACGGCCUUCGGGUUGUAAACCUCUUUCAGCAGGGACGAAGCGAAAGUGACGGUACCUGCAGAAGAAGCACCGGCCAACUACGUGCCAGCAGCCGCGGUAAUACGUAGGGUGCAAGCGUUGUCCGGAAUUACUGGGCGUAAAGAGCUCGUAGGCGGUUUGUCGCGUCGUCUGUGAAAACUCGAGGCUCAACCUCGAGCUUGCAGGCGAUACGGGCAGACUUGAGUACUGCAGGGGAGACUGGAAUUCCUGGUGUAGCGGUGAAAUGCGCAGAUAUCAGGAGGAACACCGGUGGCGAAGGCGGGUCUCUGGGCAGUAACUGACGCUGAGGAGCGAAAGCGUGGGUAGCGAACAGGAUUAGAUACCCUGGUAGUCCACGCCGUAAACGGUGGGCGCUAGGUGUGGGUUUCCUUCCAC